UGAAGUGGAGGUGAUCUGGCUGCAACAUCCAUCACCCCAUUGAUCGCCGGGGUUGGUUGGCUGAUCGGGCUGGCUAGGUGGGGGUCCCCUUCCUACUUCACCACUCCAUGAGUGUCCCUCCUGAAGUUGCCCUCUCGGUCUAAGAGGAUGACCUUCCCCAAUAGAGGAGGACCGUUCUCCAGUCAAGGGUAUACCAGUAGCUGCACUCCCCUGCUAGAACCUCCAAACAGGCACCCAAGAGUGAUUAUACUCUCUGAGCAUCUGUAAGCAAGCAAAUGGUUAGAUUGAGGAAGAUCAAGUUUAUACAAGACCUGAAUACCAGGGAUCCU
rnacentral:snRNA from 1 species